UUUUAGAAAAAUUAUAAAACUUAUAUAUAUUUGGGAUAUGGCCAAAAGUUUCUACACCAAACCGUAAAUUUGGUACUAUAGGUAAAAGUUGACUUAAA
rfam:Cetobacterium somerae ATCC BAA-474 genomic scaffold Scaffold98, whole genome shotgun sequence.